GUGGGAGUAGCUCAGCAGGUUAGAGCGCAGUAUUCAUAAUGCUGAGGUCGCCCGUACGGGCUCACGCUACA
rnacentral:tRNA from 23 species